rnacentral:lncRNA from 1 species
CACCUCUCUACCAAAGUUGGAGGGAAGCUUCAACAUCUGUCAUCUGAAGUCUCGUUGGUUGCUACAUUAACCAGAGUUCUGAAGGCUUCCUCCAAUGUUCUUUUCAUAAUAUCACAUGGACUAUCCUUGCUUUGUCUUAUUGACAUGUAGACCAACCACCUUUCUAGUCUUUUAAACAAUUUGAAAAAUUCAGAACUCUCAUUCAUUCAAAAGUUAUUUCGAGUCAUCUCUCCUUCCUGACUCUCUCCACUUCCACUUUGGCUUGAGCAGCAACUGUUGGAAAAAGACUGAACAAUGGACCAAGUUAGUGGAGUGAGGAGGACAAGUACUCAGAGGAAGGACAAGUACUCAGAGACACUGAAACGGAAAGACCUGGCAUGGAAUGAAGGUCAGCAGAUGGAAUCUAGAAGCCAGGGGGUGGUACAGUUCUGUCAUAAAAUUGCUAAAAGUGCCAAGACUUUAAUUAAAAAAAAAUCAAGUGCCAAG